CUGCUGCCUUCCGUAGGAGUUUGGACCGUGUCUCAGUUCCAAUGUGGGGGACCUUCCUCUCAGAACCCCUACUGAUCGUCGCCCCGGUGGGCCGUUACCCCGCCGGCAAGCUAAUCAGACGCAUCCCCAUCCUUUACCGGCCGAAGCCUUUGGUCAUGAAAAUAUGCAUCAACAUGACAACAUACGGUAUUAAUCCGCCUUUCGACGGGCUGUCCCAUAGUAAAGGGCAGGUUGGAUACGCGUUACUCACCCGUCGCGCCGGUCCGG
rnacentral:rRNA from 1 species